rnacentral:rRNA from 1 species
CAGUAGCCGCGGGAAAACGAAGGGUGCAAGCGUUAAUCGGAAUUACUGGGCGUAAAGCGCGCGUAGGUGGUUCAUUAAGUUGGAUGUGAAAGCCCUGGGCUCAACCUGGGAACUGCAUCCAAAACUGGUGAGCUAGAGUACGGUAGAGGGUAGUGGAAUUUCCUGUGUAGCGGUGAAAUGCGUAGAUAUAGGAAGGAACACCAGUGGCGAAGGCGACUACCUGGACUGAUACUGACACUGAGGUGCGAAAGCGUGGGGAGCAAACAGGAUUAGAUACCCCGGUAGUCCCUGUCUCUUAUAA